CAGUAGCCGCGGUAAUACAGAGGGUGCGAGCGUUAAUCGGAUUUACUGGGCGUAAAGCGUGCGUAGGCGGCUUCUUAAGUCGGAUGUGAAAUACCUGAGCUUAACUUAGGAAUUGCAUUCGAUACUGGGAAGCUAGAGUAUGGUAGAGGAUGGUAGAAUUCCAGGUGUAGCGGUGAAAUGCGUAGAGAUCUGGAGGAAUACCGAUGGCGAAGGCAGCCAUCUGGCCUAAUACUGACGCUGAGGUACGAAAGCAUGGGGAGCAAACAGGAUUAGAUACCCCAGUAGUCCCUGUCUCUUAUAU
rnacentral:rRNA from 1 species